rnacentral:rRNA from 1 species
CACGUAGGGCGCAAGCGUUGUCCGGAAUUAUUGGGCGUAAAGAGCUCGUAGGCGGUCUGUUGCGUCCGCUGUGAAAACUCGGGGCUUAACCCCGAGCCUGCAGUGGAUACGGGCAGACUAGAGGUAGGUAGGGGAGAAUGGAAUUCCCGGUGUAGCGGUGAAAUGCGCAGAUAUCAGGAGGAACACCAGUGGCGAAGGCGGUGGUCUGGGCCGGAACUGACGCUGUAGAGCGAAAGCGUGGGGAGCGAACAGG